CAAUAUGAGAGUUUGAUCCUGGCUCAGAACGAACGCUGGCGGCAGGCCUAACACAUGCAAGUCGAACGCCCCGCAAGGGGAGUGGCAGACGGGUGAGUAACACGUGGGAACCUACCUUGUGGUACGGAACAACCAAGGGAAACUUUGGCUAAUACCGUAUGAGCCCGAGAGGGGAAAGAUUUAUCGCCAUAAGAUGGGCCCGCGUCGGAUUAGCUAGUUGGUGAGGUAAUGGCUCACCAAGGCGACGAUCCGUAGCUGGUCUGAGAGGAUGACCAGCCACACUGGGACUGAGACACGGCCCAGACUCCUACGGGAGGCAGCAGUGGGGAAUAUUGGACAAUGGGCGCAAGCCUGAUCCAGCCAUGCCGCGUGUGUGAUGAAGGCCUUAGGGUUGUAAAGCACUUUCGCCGAUGAAGAUAAUG
rnacentral:rRNA from 1 species